rnacentral:tRNA from 2 species
GGUUUCAUAGUAUAGUGCUUAGAACUGGGGACUUUAAAUCCUUUGACUUGGGUUCGAAUUCGAGUGGGACCU